rfam:Myotis brandtii contig241626, whole genome shotgun sequence.
CAUGCACCAGAGGGGUCCCUCAGCCUGGUCUGCACCCUCUCACAAUCUGGGACCCCUCUGGGAAUGUCGGAGAGCCAGUUUUGGCCCGCUCCCGCAGGCCAGGCUGAGGGACCCCACUGAUGCACA